rnacentral:rRNA from 1 species
UACGAAGGGGGCUAGCGUUGCUCGGAAUCACUGGGCGUAAAGGGUGCGUAGGCGGGUCUUUAAGUCAGGGGUGAAAUCCUGGAGCUCAACUCCAGAACUGCCUUUGAUACUGAGGAUCUUGAGUUCGGGAGAGGUGAGUGGAACUGCGGGUGUAGAGGUGAAAUUCGUAGAUAUUCGCAAGAACAUCAGUGGCGAAGGCGGCUCACUGGCCCGGUACUGACGCUGAGGUGCGAAAGCGUGGGGAGCAAACAGG